AGUGAACGCUGGCGGUAGGCCUAACACAUGCAAGUCGAACGGCAGCACAGUAAGAGCUUGCUCUUACGGGUGGCGAGUGGCGGACGGGUGAGGAAUACAUCGGAAUCUACUUUUUCGUGGGGGAUAACGUAGGGAAACUUACGCUAAUACCGCAUACGACCUACGGGUGAAAGCAGGGGAUCUUCGGACCUUGCGCGAUUGAAUGAGCCGAUGUCGGAUUGGCUAGUUGGCGGGGUAAAGGCCCACCAAGGCGACGAUCCGUAGCUGGUCUGAUAGGAGGAUCAGCCACACUGGAACUGAGACACGGUCCAGGCUCCUACGGGAGGCAGCAGUGGGGAAUAUUGGACAAUGGGCGCAAGUCUGAUCCAGCCAUCCCGCGUGGGUGAAGAAGGCCUUCGGGUUGUAAAGACCUUUUGUUGGGAAAGAAAAGCAGCAGGUUAAUACCCCGCUGUUCUGACGGUACCCAAAGAAUAAGCACCGGCUAACUUCGUG
rnacentral:rRNA from 1 species